GGUAUUUACAUUCUGUCCCUAAUAAUUUAAGUAUUUUAAAGGUCAAGGUUAUAUACCUUAACACCAAGGUCAGAGGUCAUACUACUGAUACAACAAGAAAGCUUGAUCAAUGUGGGGACUGCAGUGUCCUGACACAAUUGUUUUGAAAUUUAAUUUUUUAGUUUACAUACAUAUUAUGAAAAAAAUCAUGAUUUUAAUGUACUGGGUAUGUAUGAUUAAAAAGUAAGCAAAUAUAAUAAUACGUAAUUAUAAGGUAACUGGUUUACAUUUCCCUGUGUUUAAUGUCUACUGGAUAGAGUCCCAAGGUUGUUUUAUUUUGUGAUAUUUUACAUACAAGUUGUUAUAAAGCAUUAGAAUUGUAUUCCAUGGGAAAGAAAGCAUUGUAUUUGGCAUUCAAUAUCAUACAUGUUUAAAACUAGUGAAUUUUUAUAGGUCUGAAUGAUGUUUGCUCAGAGAGUGACAUUAUGUAGAAUUCAUGAAUAGCUCUGACUUCAUCCACUGGUAUCUUAAGAGUUGCUAUUAGUCAAUCUUUUUCAAAAAAACAAUUUUAACAGGUACAUGUACUAGUGCUUGAACAGUUAUUGUAUACAUGUAUUAGAGACUUGAGCGUGUGUAAUUGUAAGGUUGUAGUGUUUACAGUUGUUUGACUUGCACGAUAUUGUUAUUAGUAUUGUAUUGAAGUCUAUAGUGCUACAGAAAUUUCCAUAUGUUAAUGUAUAUUUGAAGUUUGUUACGUAUAUGAGUAAGUCAACAUUAUCUUUUCUCAAGGGAGUGCAAUCAAUAUUAUACUUUUGUGUGAAAGAAAAUCAUGGUCAACUUGUGUAAAAUCGAUCAGUGUAAAAGCAUUUUUGGAGCAAAAGACUACCUAUUUAUAUUGUGUGCAUGUGUGUAAGGGUAAGAUAUAGACCUUCAGUGUUUUAUAGAAGGAUAUAAAAUACAAUUGAUUUAGCAGAAAUAUUAUUUUGCAUAUUUUGUAUUAAAUAAACAUUUUAUAAUUACAGU
rnacentral:misc_RNA from 1 species